rnacentral:rRNA from 1 species
CCUACGGGUGGCUGCAGUGGGGAAUAUUGGACAAUGGGCGAAAGCCUGAUCCAGCCAUGCCGCGUGUGUGAAGAAGGCCUUCGGGUUGUAAAGCACUUUCAGUGGGGAAGAAAGCCUUGGGGCUAAUACCCUCGAGGAAGGACAUCACCCACAGAAGAAGCACCGGCUAACUCCGUGCCAGCAGCCGCGGUAAUACGGAGGGUGCGAGCGUUAAUCGGAAUUACUGGGCGUAAAGCGCGCGUAGGCGGUCUGAUAAGCCGGUUGCGAAAGCCCCGGGCUCAACCUGGGAACGGCAUCCGGAACUGUCAGGCUAGAGUGCAGGAGAGGAAGGUAGAAUUCCCGGUGUAGCGGUGAAAUGCGUAGAGAUCGGGAGGAAUACCAGUGGAGAAGGCGGCCUUCUGGACUGACACUGACGCUGAGGUGCGAAAGCGUGGGUAGCAAACAGGAUUAGAUACCCCUGUAGUC